UUGAACGCUGGCGGCAUGCUUUACACAUGCAAGUCGAACGGCAGCACGGGGGCAACCCUGGUGGCGAGUGGCGAACGGGUGAGUAAUGCAUCGGAACGUGCCUAGUAGUGGGGGAUAACGCGUCGAAAGAUGUGCUAAUACCGCAUACGCACUAUGGUGGAAAGCGGGGGACCGUAAGGCCUCGCGCUAUUAGAGCGGCCGAUGCCCGAUUAGCUAGUUGGUGAGGUAAUGGCCCACCAAGGCAACGAUCGGUAGCUGGUCUGAGAGGAUGAUCAGCCACACUGGGACUGAGACACGGCCCAGACUCCUACGGGAGGCAGCAGUGGGGAAUUUUGGACAAUGGGCGCAAGCCUGAUCCAGCCAUGCCGCGUGAGUGAAGAAGGCCUUCGGGUUGUAAAGCUCUUUCGGCCGGAACGAAAUCGUCCGAGCUAAUACCUCGGAUGGAUGACGGUACUGGAAGAAGAAGCACCGGCUAACUACGU
rnacentral:rRNA from 1 species